AACGAACGCUGGCGGCAUGCCUAACACAUGUAAGUCGAACGAGACCUUCGGGUCUAGUGGCGCACGGGUGCGUAACGCGUGGGAAUCUGCCCUUGGGUUCGGGAUAACAGUUGGAAACGACUGCUAAUACCGGAUGAUGUCUUCGGACCAAAGAUUUAUCGCCCAGGGAUGAGCCCGCGUCGGAUUAGCUAGUUGGUGAGGUAAAGGCUCACCAAGGCGACGAUCCGUAGCUGGUCUGAGAGGAUGAUCAGCCACACUGGGACUGAGACACGGCCCAGACUCCUACGGGAGGCAGCAGUGGGGAAUAUUGGACAAUGGGCGAAAGCUUGAUCCAGCAAUGCCGCGUGAGUGAUGAAGGCCUUAGGGUUGUAAAGCUCUUUUACCCGGGAUGAUAAUGACAGUACCGGGAGAAUAAGCCCCGGCUAACUCCGUGCCAGCCGCCGCGGUAAAAC
rnacentral:rRNA from 1 species